GGUUAUUUUUGCUAUGUGAUGAACUUGAAAAUUCACAAUUUUACUGACAAUAGCAGUUUAAUAGGCAAUUUUUUUAUGUUAAGCUCGCAAUUUUUGCCCAGCCUGUAGGCAGGGAGGCUUUUGAUAUUACGUUAUUCUACGUAAAAUAAGCCAUCUAUAACCGUACCAAAUGUGAAUUGUUCGGAAUUUAUUCCGGGUGCAAGCUUAAUUCCCCCAGACUAAUAGGUGGGUUAAUCCUGCUAGUAAUUACUGUGGUUGUUCAAACUUUUAAAGAGAUAAAAAAGAUAAGGAAUAUAGCCUACAGUAUAAAUUUAAAAUAGAUCCAAGAUCCAACAUCUGCCAUGUAUAAAGUGUAGUGAAAUGUAUCUCAAUACUAAUCGUAGACAACUAAAGCCUCUGCGAGGAGAGAAGCUUUAGUCAUUUGAAAUCAGUAUCAAUGUACAAUUACAUGUAUCGAAAGGGCUUAUAGUAGAUCAGUAGGACUUAUGACGCUUCACAGCAUGCAAACCAUGCAUAUUUUGCAUUUUUAGUGUUAAUCCUCAAUUAAACUCAUUGUUAAAAAGUAAUCACCGUGGUGGUUAUUGUAAUUACUGAUAUUGUCCAGUGGCGUAACUAUACUAUGGGCUCGGACCGGG